CCGCCGCCUCCCCCCUCGCUGCCCCGCGAGUGGCUUUGUUUGCAGAGGAGGUGGCUCCGUGCCUGGUAGGACGAUGUCGAAAGUUCCCGGGCAGCGGGGGAGAGAAGCAAUCUGGGGUCUGUCGAAAGAACUAGUUCGAGGCCACUAACUCAGUCUUCCGCGAAAACCGCAAGCGUGAGAGCCCAGCCCUAACAGCGAAAGGCUGAUACUAAAAGGAAAUUAAGAUGUAAAUGGACUUCUCCGGGAAGGCGACGAGCGGCACUGUGUUGUAAAUAAAUUGCUUCUCAUUCGUGUGCUGCUAAUAAAACUUAAGCGCCUUGCCCACCCUUCGCCCACCCUUCGCCCCUCCGGACCGUAUCGGGGCUGCUGGAAAGGGCGGGAGGUGGGAAAGGACCUCUGGAGAUCGCUCAGUCCGGCCCCCCGGCUUAAAGCAGGGUCGCAGCUUUUACUCCUGUGAGUGAAGAAUGACGUCGUGAAUUGGCAGGGUUAGAUAAUUUGAAAGGAGAAAACAACGAGUGAUAUUGAAUGUGAAAAAUGAAAACUGCCCACCCAGUGAAAAGAAGGGAAAGAAGAAAUCAGGAGGGCAUGUAUAUCUAAGAGUCUUGUCCUUACUUCAGAGAUGCUGCAUACUUACAGCUCUGCCUUCAGUGGGGGGGUGCAGGACACCAAUUCUCCACAAACCACCAACUUGCUGAAAGAUAACUUACACUGAAUCCAUCUCCUCUACAAGACCGGCUGAAUUUCCAUUUGGAAAAGCAAAGUGACAGGGCUAAGUGAGAGCCUUUGCAAUAUACUGCAGUAUGCAAGAAGCAGAAGGAAGACCUUACAGCCUGGCUAAAACAGCCCCACUCCAUAAGAGGGCAGUGGAAGAAAUGAGAACUGAAAAAUAUUCAGAAAUUAUUUUCAGUAGCAUUGAAGUUACAGUUUCCAUAGAGGCAAGGUUCCCAGUGGUUUCAGGUAGCUGGGGGGACAAGCUCUCUGCUGAGCAAAGUUUCAGGGAUUGCACUGAAGUCCGAAGGAUUACUGCAUACAGGAAUUUGUCCUUUGGCUCUCCACUCGCACUCAAUUUUCUGUCUAAACCCACGAUUUAAUUUGGGUGAAUCCUGAUUUAUACCACUAUGAAUAAAAGGGAGCUGAGGCCAUCAGUAGUAUAAAUAAAGCCUUAGCUCAGUGGCAAUCUUGCUUGAGAACUGCAGGAUCAGGCUGUAUAGUACUGGUAGCUCUUUGGCAUUUGAUGAGCAAGUUACCUUUAUUUAUAACAUGGUACAGCAGGACGCGUCACUGUGAUUGACUUAUAACAACU